GGUGAAAUGGGAAGGGGAGAAAAAGGUCUUUGUGCUAACACCCAAUGUACUACUUUCCAAUUCCAUUAAGUGUACAUCAACUCAAUUCUGGAGCAGGAAGACCAUAUGCCUCCUGUUACAUUCAGCUAUUUUUCAUGAAGCCAUAAAAAUGCUCCAUUGUGUUUUACGACAUUGCACUCCAUUUUAUGUUCCUUUUCCCUCUGGUGGGAUGUAUAACAUUGACAUUACAUUGCUUUCAGUGACAGUCAGUUCUGGCAUCAAUAGCAUCUCAUACAGAUUUGGUGUAAUCACAGUUUUGGUGCUGCCACACUGGUGUUAGAUCUCCAUAAAGCACUGGCACCAGGCUGAUGAGACAAUAUGCUUUAAUUCUGCAGAAAUGCUCAACAUACUAGAGGUUAUGCACCUUGAUCUUUGUGAUCUUUGAUGUUCAUUCAUGUUUCGAUUGAGGUCUGACACCUGACUCAUGUUACCCAUGAGGGGCGAUCAGUCCUUGAAUUGAAUGGUCUUUGCCUGGGCAUGUCUUGACCUAUCCCUUGUCCUCAACAUAGGCUGUAAUCCUUCUGAAUGAUCUGUAGAGGGAGCAGUUUCCUAUGCUCUAGCACCGUCUCUUCUUCCUACCACAGCUGGCUGUAACACCUGCUCUCCACAUGUCUUCUUCCGCAAGAGGAGAAAAUGAGUUCGGCUUUCGAACUUUGUGCUGCUGGAAGGCGAAGGUGAAGUGAAGGAACUGAAACAUCACCUGGUGUCAGAAUGCAAGAGACACAAGGGAACCUCUUCACAUCACUCCAUUACGCCACUCCCUCCCAUAUGCCUUCUCCACGCUCAAUAUAGCCCCUUAAACCGACAAUGAUGAGGGAUGAAGAGAAGGAGGGAGUUGCCACACGCAAAUGUUUUAUGAGUCACAUAAUGAUUCAGAGAGAAAAUUGGUCUAAACUUGAACAAUGGAUAAAGUGCUAUAUGUGGGUUUCUGUCAAGCUGGUGAAAGUCAAAAGUAAAUCUACAUGCAUAUGGCCCUGCCUUUGAAGACGCAGCUACUAAUCCCGUAACCCUGUCAGAGAAAGAGAGGGAGGGAAGAGGGAGAAGGACAGCAAGGCAAAGAGAAGGGGAGAGAGACCUACACAAGGGACAAGAGAGCGAACACUUGUGGCUGUGAUGGAAAACUCUGCAAUGAUUUCUGUUAAACCCUUUUAGAAAAAUUAAUUUCCCACAUUUCAACAGCUGGGAGACAUAACAGAAAAAAAAUUAAUAAAAGUGAGCUACUGAAAGUGUUUCAACAGAUGUUGAUGCGUCAAUGUUUUUGUUGUGCUGUUGGAUUUCAACUGAUUAUUUGAUAUUAAACAGAAAUAAUGGAGUGCAAGAUCAUAUAGAUUUCUUUUCUUUUCUUUUAUUUACACCACCGCAAAAUGGCACGCAAAUAAAGGAUAACAAAAAUGGCCAGAGGGGAAGGCCAGGUCUUUAAUAUUUGUCAGGAGAGGGAAGCCACAGGGAGGGUGUUUCCCUCUGGCCCAGGGGCCGGUGCUGUGGUGACCGCUGCCUGCCUGCC
rnacentral:lncRNA from 1 species